rnacentral:lncRNA from 1 species
ACUCAUGAGUAAGUUAUUUGCGAUAGCCGAGCCCAGAGAUGGGGAAAUUAGUUCACCCUGGAACCUAACCUGGUCAAAAUGAAUGGGGAAGAGGAAUUUUAGACCCACGUCAGUGAAAUCCAAAACCUCCUUUUUUGGGGCACCCCACCCUCCACCUCAAGCCUGGAGAACACUUUUGUCCCUGGUCCCAUGCCCCAUGGGCCCCACUGGAGGAUAGGCUGAAGCCAUCUGUGCCUGGGGAGGAGGGCAGGUGAGCUCCAGAGGCCUAGACUCUGUCUUGCACCGCCUCCACCUCUUCCCACUGGCUUCUUGAGGGAAGAGGAAGAAGGAAGCUCUGCUUUGUCUUCAGGCUUUUUAUAAAAUGCCUGCUGCAAUCAACACCUGGUUUAACUAAAUUCCAUCCGCUUCGGUUGUGGGUUCUUUCACAGGAAGGCCCUGGGAUCGGCGAGGGGCUUCGGAAUGUCAGUGUCAAUGAGGACCCACAGAACUUAAUGCCUAGCACAGCACCCUCGUUGUUAAGACUGUCUUAGAAACACAGGUGCGGGAAAGAGGGACGAUGCUAAAAGCAGUUUAUCUUGGCCCACCAGCACCAGCACUACCAGUGGCAUCACCACGGAGCUGCUCGAAGGCCUGCCCAUCUACUCCUGCAGGUGUGUGGAUUACCUCAUCCUAUAGUGGCUCAAUGACGACACCCCUGGAGGAUGGAAGACUGAGAAGGAGGUUCAUGGAGGAAGCUGGUGAGCUCAGUUCUGAACAUGAACUUGAGAUGACUGUGGGCAUUUAAUUCCUGGGUGUCCCUCCUCCCUUUGGUCAGACUGAAUCACUUGGGAAAGGGACAGCUUUCUCUAACUUUCAUUUUAUUCCUUCAAAGUCUGAGUCAACCCCAGGAGGGGUUUCCAGAGACUGUGUUGUAUCUAAAAUACAAAGUAUUCUAGAUGAGUGUGUGUGUGUGUGUGUGUCUUUUAAUAUGGCCACACCUGCAGCAUAUGGAAGUUCCCAGGCUAGGUGUCCAUUCGGAGCUGCAGCUCGGCUGGCCAUCGUCAGAGCCACAGCAACGCCAGAUCCAAGCUGUGUCUGCGAUCUAUACCACAGCUCAUGGCAAAGCCGGAUCCUUAACCCACUGAGCGAGGCCAGGGAAUGAACCCGUAUCCUCAUGGGUACUGGUCAGGUUCUUAACUUGCAGAGCCACAAUGGGAACUCCGAGAGAUGUUGCCAGUUUGAGAGGUGAGGACUCUGCUUCUCCUUUCACUCACCUCGUGUCUGACUACACAGAGGCUCUAGCAGCACCUCCCCACCCCCAAACAUCAGCAACCCUCUCAGACCUGACCAGAUGGUCCCAACCUCCCCUGCCUCGUUCUCCUCUACCCUUUAGAACCCACAUUCCUGACUCCGGAGAGUCCUGACUCCACCUUCACCCUACACAUUUCUUUCUUUAUUUAAAAUCUUUGAGAGAUAACUUUGAUAUAGUCUGUUUUAUUCACUUAUAAUAUAAAAAAAGCUUGCCAGUAUAUUAAAAGUAAUUUAAAGGCCUACGAGCUCAUUGCCU